rnacentral:rRNA from 1 species
GACGAACGCUGGCGGCGUGCUUAACACAUGCAAGUCGAGCGGUGAAGCGCCUUCCUUUUUGGUGGGUGUGGAUGAGUGGCGAACGGGUGAGUAACACGUGAGUAACCUGCCCCCUUCUUCUGGAUAACCGCAUGAAAGUGUGGCUAAUACGGGAUAUUCUGGGUCUGUCGCAUGAUGGGUCUGGGAAAGAUAUUGUUUCGGUGGGGGAUGGGCUCGCGGCCUAUCAGGUUGUUGGUGGGGUGAUGGCCUACCAAGGCGGUGACGGGUAGCCGGCCUGAGAGGGUCGACGGUCACACUGGGACUGAGACACGGCCCAGACUCCGACGGGAGGCAGCAUGGGAUAAUAUUGCACAAUGGGCGCAAUCCUGAUGCAGCGCCGCCGCAUUAGUGAUGGAGGCCUUCGGGUUGUGAACCUCUUUCGCCAGUGAAGCAGUCCUGCCUCGUGUGUGGGUGGGUUGACGGUAGCUGGAUAAGAAGCGCCGGCUAACUACGUG